CCCACGGCUUGCGCCGUGGGCUACAUUCUGUCGCCCCUGCGGGGCU
rnacentral:sRNA from 1 species